rnacentral:rRNA from 1 species
UGAGGAAUAUUGGUCAAUGGACGAGAGUCUGAACCAGCCAAGUAGCGUGAAGGAUGACUGCCCUAUGGGUUGUAAACUUCUUUUAUACGGGAAUAAAGUAUUCCACGUGUGGAAUUUUGUAUGUACCGUAUGAAUAAGGAUCGGCUAACUCCGUGCCAGCAGCCGCGGUAAUACGGAGGAUCCGAGCGUUAUCCGGAUUUAUUGGGUUUAAAGGGAGCGUAGGUGGAAGAUUAAGUCAGCCUGUGAAAGUUUGCGGCUCAACCGUAAAAUUGCAGUUGAUACUGGUUUUCUUGAGUGCAGUAGAGGUGGGCGGAAUUCGUGGUGUAGCGGUGAAAUGCUUAGAUAUCACGAAGAACUCCGAUUGCGAAGGCAGCUCACUGGACUGUAACUGACACUGAUGCUCGAAAGUGUGGGUAUCAAACAG